rnacentral:rRNA from 1 species
AGUGAACGCUGGCGGUAGGCCUAACACAUGCAAGUCGAACGGCCGCACAGUAAGAGCUUGCUCUUACGGGUGGCGAGUGGCGGACGGGUGAGGAAUACAUCGGAAUCUACUUUUUCGUGGGGGAUAACGUAGGGAAACUUACGCUACUACCGCAUACGACCUACGGGUGAAAGCAGGGGAUCUUCGGACCUUGCGCGAUUGAAUGAGCCGAUGUCGGAUUAGCUAGUUGGCGGGGUAAAGGCACACCAAGGCGACGAUACGUAGCUGGUCUGAGAGGAUGAUCAGCCACACUGGAACUGAGACACGGUCCAGACUCCUACGGGAGGCAGCAGUGGGGAAUAUUGGACAAUGGGCGCAAGCCUGAUCCAGCCAUACCGCGUGGGUGAAGAAGGCCUUCGGGUUGUAAAGCCCUGUUGUUGGGAAAGAAAAGCAGCAGGUUAAUACCCCGCUGUUCUGACGGUACCCAAAGAAUAAGCACCGGCUAACUUCGUG